UACGUAGGGGGCUAGCGUUGUCCGGAAUCAUUGGGCGUAAAGCGCGCGUAGGCGGCCCUGUUAGUCCGCUGUAAAAGUCAAAGGCUCAACCUUCGAAUGCCGGUGGAUACUGCAGGGCUAGAGUCCGGAAGAGGCGAGUGGAAUUCCUGGUGUAGCGGUGGAAUGCGCAGAUAUCAGGAGGAACACCAACGGCGAAGGCAGCUCGCUGGGACGGUACUGACGCUGAGGCGCGAAAGCGUGGGGAGCGAACAGG
rnacentral:rRNA from 1 species